rnacentral:rRNA from 1 species
GAUAAACGCUGGCGGCGUGCAUAACACAUGCAAGUCGAACGAAGUGGCGAACGGGUGAGUAACACGUGAGUAACCUGCCUUACACAAGGGGAUAGCCUUUGGAAACGAAGAAUAAUACACUAUAGUGUAAGAUGGACUUGCGUCUGAUUAGCGAGUUGGUGAGAUAAAAGACCACUAAGGCGACGAUCAGUAGCCGGCUUGAGGUAGUGGACGGCCACAUUGUGACUGAGACACGGCCCAAACGCGACGGGAGGGAGCAGUGGGGAAUUUUGCACAAUGGGGGAAACCCUGAUGCAGCGACGCCGCGUGAUGUAGAAGGCCUUCGGGUUGUAAAAAUCUUUUUUAUGGGAUGCAGUACCAUAAGAAUAAGGUCCGGCUAAAUACGUGCCAGCAGCCGCGGUAAUUC